rnacentral:piRNA from 1 species
UACCACUGAAGUAUAUUCACUGAAGUA